rnacentral:lncRNA from 1 species
AAGUAUCGAACCCACUCCACUAAAGGCCAUGAAAGUACUCUCUCUCCACUAGGCCAUUCAUGAUUAUUUAUAAUUUUAAUAACAACUGGAAUAUAUAAACCAGAAUAGGUUAAAACCAAAAUUAAAGAAAAAAUAAAAUGGUAUGUUGGACUACUAAUUAAACGAUGGAGGAAUCAAAAAUGAACCCUAGCCGCCUGGCUGUUGGGUUUUCCAAUGGAUUAUGAAUUGGGAAAGCAAAUACACUAAUGUAUACUAUUUAAUAAAAAAAACCAAGGGAAGACUAAACGUGAACUUUUUAAUGGUUUAAAUGUUUGUUUUGUUUAAAAAAUAAAAUGAGAAAAUACAAUAUGUACAGUAACAGAAAUAAUCCUUCAUCGUCCUCAAUCCCGUUCUCUCUCUUCUCAAUCGUUCAUCUCCAAUCUUCG